GCUGGGUGUGGUGGCGGGUGCCUGUAAUCCCAGUUACUCGGGAGGCUAAGGCAGGAGAAUUGCUUGAACCUGGGAGGCAGGGGUUGCAGUGAGCUGAGAUUGUGCCACUGCACUCCAGCCUGGGUGACAAAGUGAGACUCUGUCUUAA
ensembl:misc_RNA Metazoa_SRP Metazoan signal recognition particle RNA